AUUGAACGCUGGCCGCAGGCCUAACACAUGCAAGUCGAGCGGAUGAAGGGAGCUUGCUCCUGGAUUCAGCGGCGGACGGGUGAGUAAUGCCUAGGAAUCUGCCUGGUAGUGGGGGAUAACGUCCGGAAACGGGCGCUAAUACCGCAUACGUCCUGAGGGAGAAAGUGGGGGAUCUUCGGACCUCACGCUAUCAGAUGAGCCUAGGUCGGAUUAGCUAGUUGGUGGGGUAAAGGCCUACCAAGGCGACGAUCCGUAACUGGUCUGAGAGGAUGAUCAGUCACACUGGAACUGAGACACGGUCCAGACUCCUACGGGAGGCAGCAGUGGGGAAUAUUGGACAAUGGGCGAAAGCCUGAUCCAGCCAUGCCGCGUGUGUGAAGAAGGUCUUCGGAUUGUAAAGCACUUUAAGUUGGGAGGAAGGGCAGUAAGUUAAUACCUUGCUGUUUUGACGUUACCAACAGAAUAAGCACCGGCUAACUUCGUG
rnacentral:rRNA from 1 species